rnacentral:lncRNA from 1 species
GUAAAAAGGGGAGCGGUGGGAGUGGAUCCCUACUCCCACCUCCCCCAAUGGGAGUCCCACUCCCACUCCCCACUCCAAAAAUGAGUGGGGCCCACGGAGUGAGAUUCCCAAUCCGUGGUCAUUUUAAGCAAGUAAACGUUGGAGUGGGAGGAAUCCACACUCCUCACUCCCACUCCAGCAAGUAAACACAGCCUUAAUUAACUCAUUUGACGAGUAGUAUUUUAAGUUUUAGCAUUGAUUAAACAUUGAAAUACAUGCGUAUUUGGUAAAUCUGUGUUGUUUUUACAUCGCAAGCCACACGAGUUUAAAUUUUUUUAAAAAGUAUUAAAUUAAAAUUUUAGUUUAAAUUUUAUGCAUCCCUUAAACUUGGAUAAAAAUUAUAUUUAAUAAAUAAAUUGAGAAGUUAAAUAAAUAGAUAAUAUCCCAAUAUUGAUCAAGUUCAUUACGAGAGACUCCAUGAACAUCUAAAGGAGCAGGAGUCAUUUUCGGGUGUUUCUUUUCCGCCUUUUUCAAUCAAUAAUUUUGUGGAAUAAAUGAAAUUAGUGGGAAGACUAAGUGCACUUAUCUUUGGUUGGUGCAUACUUUAAGACGUCGAUGCAUUAUCCUGUACUUUUGUAGCUGCAUAUUUUUUUUUUAUUUUUUUUAUGAUUAAUUACACUAAUAAAAAUGAAAAUUCUUUCUCUACUUAUGCCACCAAAGUUAAAUAGGAGUUAAAUUUCAAACCGCACAUUUUUUCGUAUCAUUGAAGGCCCGUUCAACAUUGAAAUUGAACGACAAAAGCAGCUUAAUUAUUUCAUAAACUUUUGGGGGGAAAAAAUCCAAAACUUUGUGGGUGUAAAACAAAUUGGUGGGAAGACUAAGCGCACCCACGUCUGCUUUGCUAGUGCAAUCUUUUGUUAGUCAAUUUGUAGGUGUAACAAUGAUAAAUGCUUAACUUCAUAUCAGUUUUUAUUACUUUAUUUGUGGUUAUUUAAUAUUUUUCACGAACUUCUUGAAUCUUUAUUAGACUUUAUGUUUAAUAGGAAUUUUUUUAGCCAAAAGAAACAAAAAAAGAGAAGAAAAGUUACAAAUUGGUGCAAAGAAUAGCUAUCAAGAUUAUGACUUCAUGAAAUUUGAUUACUUUUUGGACAAAUCUCUGGACUCUUCACUUGAUUGGGCUAUAUAAGACAUGUACCAAGGUAGAGGAUUAGAUUUGAGACAUAAAAAUUGAUUCUUAAAGGGCUAGUCGGAUUUUAAUAUUGGACCUAAGAUAAAAAUAUAAAUGACCUAUUUUUUAGGAUAGAAAAUCUAUCUUAUAAGGAAAUUGAGUUAAAAAAAUGAAUUUCACUAGUCCUACAAGGAUUAAGAUAGCAAUUUUAUGUAUAAAGCCAAUAAUUGAGACGCCCUGGAGAGAGAAAAAAAAAUGUAAAGAAUCAAUUCCAAAGAAGAAAAAUUGAAAGGAAGAGAGGAGUGGAUGAGUUGGAGACUUGGUUGCCAUAACUAUAAUUCAAUCGAUAAGUUUUUCUUUCUCUUAUCUUUUGUAGUUUUUUUUAAUGGACUUGAUAUUGAACAAUUUAGACAUGUGUGAGUAAUCUUUUUAUUGGUUACGAUUGAUUUCAAAAUCCUAAACAUUAAUUUUUAUUAAUAUUUAAAAUCAGAAUUCUUCAUCUUUCAAAUAACCCAAAUUUUAUAUUUCACUGAUUUUAAUGCUCAAGAAUUGUUAUUUUGUUUAUUUAAGUGACCGACUAGACUAGUUUGAUGGUAAUUUAAAUUGCUAGUUUAGGAUUUUAGAUCCGUAAUUGUCAAAGAACUAAAGCUAAGUGGUAGAUGUGAUAUUUUUGUUUGAUUGGAUUUAUAAUAUAAUUCAAGAUAAAUAAAGUGAGAUUGUACUUUUGCUUUUUGAUUUAGCAUGUAUCUUUCUUGAAUUUAAUACUUCCAUUAAAUUAAACAUAAAGAGCUUAUUUUAGAUUGUUUAUGGGAAAAAGAUUAAGUAAAUAACUUAUUUUACUUAAUAGAGACAAAGUUUUGGGUGAUAUACUUUUAAGUCGCGUCAAAUAAUUGCUAGCUAGAGAAGCACUAACUUUCUUUUAUCUUUUGAACGAAUACUACAUAUUAUUUUUUCACAUGAGAUUGAGCGUUUGUAGCGUUUAAUCUAGAGUUUUCUUAUAUAAAUAUUAAUUAUUGAACAUUCACGACUAUAAAAUUGGGUUUUUUGACAGAAUAAUUUUGUCACAAAUCAUGUUACCGACAUAAUUUUAUUCUGUCAAAAAGUCCUUAGUAAGAAUAUAGUGACAGAAAAUUCAGUAACUAGUGACAAAAUAUUUCUGUCAAGGAUAUUUUUGUCAAGAAAUUGUGUUACAAUUCUUUACCUACAUGGCAUCCGACGUGGUAAAUGACAUAACAUCUCAUUUUGCAAACAGGGCAUUUGACAUGGCAGAUGACAUGUCAUCAUAUUUUGCGAACAAGGUUUUGACAUGGCAAAUGAAUUUUAUGCCUACAUUACAUUAUAAUUCUGUCACAUAUCAAUGAUAGAUGUUAAUUAUCAAUAACUUGUGACAUUUUAUGGUGAUUAAUUUUUUUGAGCUUAAUUUAUGUAAAAAAUUUGGGUCAAUAUUAUUAUUAUUUAUUUUUUCAAUUACCAACAACCGAAAUUUUUGGAGUACCCUUACAAUAACAAAAUCAUUAGUCCAUUAAAUAUUUUUAGAAAACUACAAUGCAAUUUAAAAAUACUUCAAUUAUUAUGUUAUUAAAUAUUACUGAUACGUACAUAUUGUUCCAAGUUAACAUAAAGAAAAUUUCCUUUUUUUGGGAGCCAUAAAUCAAUCGAGAUUACAGUCUUCUCCCUACACAAGUUACAUGAUCACUUUAAAAGGAACAAUUACAUUUGCUCGAUCAAAUUGGAUCUACUAAAGCCAUGCUCAAUACCAAAAUCCCAACAGCUCACAUAAAUCAGCAACAGCACUUGAACCUGAAGGCAUAACCAUGCAAAAAAUUAGCAGGUUGAAUCUGCAGGCAUGAAUUAUNNNNNNNNNNNNNNNNNNNNNNNNNNNNNNNNNNNNNNNNNNNNNNNNNNNNNNNNNNNNNNNNNNNNNNNNNNNNNNNNNNNNNNNNNNNNNNNNNNNNACUAUUAAAUUACCUAUAUGAAUUUCAGUUGUUUUAUUUUUGGAGAUGAUUGCUCAGCAAGCGACGAAAGCAAAUGGCAUAUUUGUGAGGACUAGACCAAGAAAAAGCAAAUUUGGGAUGUUACUUUGUUGGUGAGGUUAACAUUUAUGAGAGUGACAGACGAAAGAGCCAAAGAGGGAGGCAAAGUGCCAAAGAGGGAAGGGAAGAGCCGAGGGAGUUUCGUUCUAAGCUUUCAAGCACAAAAAUGUUUUUGUGUUUGAUUUUAUUUCGACGGCACAUAAAAACAUUGUCCCUCUAAAAUAAAAAGGGGAUUGAAGAGAGGGAUCUUUGAUAAUUUUGAUUUGGCGCACUGUUUUGGGCACCCAUUUUGCCACUAUUUGAUAUCUUAAUUGUAAAAGCUCAUAUUUAUGCUUUAAUUCUUUAAAACCUUUUUCAUUG